GCGGCGUGCCUAAUACAUGCAAGUCGAACGAACUCUGGUAUUGAUUGGUGCUUGCAUCAUGAUUUACAUUUGAGUGAGUGGCGAACUGGUGAGUAACACGUGGGAAACCUGCCCAGAAGCGGGGGAUAACACCUGGAAACAGAUGCUAAUACCGCAUAACAACUUGGACCGCAUGGUCCGAGUUUGAAAGAUGGCUUCGGCUAUCACUUUUGGAUGGUCCCGCGGCGUAUUAGCUAGAUGGUGGGGUAACGGCUCACCAUGGCAAUGAUACGUAGCCGACCUGAGAGGGUAAUCGGCCACAUUGGGACUGAGACACGGCCCAAACUCCUACGGGAGGCAGCAGUAGGGAAUCUUCCACAAUGGACGAAAGUCUGAUGGAGCAACGCCGCGUGAGUGAAGAAGGGUUUCGGCUCGUAAAACUCUGUUGUUAAAGAAGAACAUAUCUGAGAGUAACUGUUCAGGUAUUGACGGUAUUUAACCAGAAAGCCACGGCUAACUACGUGCCAGCAGCCGCGGUAAUACGUAGGUGGCAAGCGUUGUCCGGAUUUAUUGGGCGUAAAGCGAGCGCAGGCGGUUUUUUAAGUCUGAUGUGAAAGCCUUCGGCUCAACCGAAGAAGUGCAUCGGAAACUGGGAAACUUGAGUGCAGAAGAGGACAGUGGAACUCCAUGUGUAGCGGUGAAAUGCGUAGAUAUAUGGAAGAACACCAGAGGCGAAGGCGGCUGUCUGGUCUGUAACUGACGCUGAGGCUCGAAAGUAUGGGUAGCAAACAGGAUUAGAUACCCCGGUAGUCCAUACCGUAAACGAUGAAUGCUAAGUGUUGGAGGGUUUCCGCCCUUCAGUGCUGCAGCUAACGCAUUAAGCAUUCCGCCUGGGGAGUACGGCCGCAAGGCUGAAACUCAAAGGAAUUGACGGGGGCCCGCACAAGCGGUGGAGCAUGUGGUUUAAUUCGAAGCUACGCGAAGAACCUUACCAGGUCUUGACAUACUAUGCAAAUCUAAGAGAUUAGACGUUCCCUUCGGGGACAUGGAUACAGGUGGUGCAUGGUUGUCGUCAGCUCGUGUCGUGAGAUGUUGGGUUAAGUCCCGCAACGAGCGCAACCCUUAUUAUCAGUUGCCAGCAUUAAGUUGGGCACUCUGGUGAGACUGCCGGUGACAAACCGGAGGAAGGUGGGGAUGACGUCAAAUCAUCAUGCCCCUUAUGACCUGGGCUACACACGUGCUACAAUGGAUGGUACAACGAGUUGCGAACUCGCGAGAGUAAGCUAAUCUCUUAAAGCCAUUCUCAGUUCGGAUUGUAGGCUGCAACUCGCCUACAUGAAGUCGGAAUCGCUAGUAAUCGCGGAUCAGCAUGCCGCGGUGAAUACGUUCCCGGGUC
rnacentral:rRNA from 2 species